UUGGCCGGGCGACGGUUGUCCCGGUUUAAGCGUGUAGGUGUGUGUUCCAGGUAAAUCCGGUUCACUUUAACACUGAGGCGUGACGACGAGGCACUACGGUGCUGAAGCAACAAAUGCCCUGCUUCCAGGAAAAGCCUCUAAGCAUCAGGUAACAUCAAAUCGUACCCCAAACCGACACAGGUGGUCAGGUAGAGAAUACCAAGGCGCUUGAGAGAACUCGGGUGAAGGAACUAGGCAAAAUGGUGCCGUAACUUCGGGAGAAGGCACGCUGACACGUAGGUGAAGUGAUUUACUCAUGGAGCUGAAGUCAGUCGAAGAUACCAGCUGGCUGCAACUGUUUAUUAAAAACACAGCACUGUGCAAACACGAAAGUGGACGUAUACGGUGUGACGCCUGCCCGGUGCCGGAAGGUUAAUUGAUGGGGUCAGCGCAAGCGAAGCUCCUGAUCGAAGCCCCGGUAAACGGCGGCCGUAACUAUAACGGUCCUAAGGUAGCGAAAUUCCUUGUCGGGUAAGUUCCGACCUGCACGAAUGGCGUAAUGAUGGCCAGGCUGUCUCCACCCGAGACUCAGUGAAAUUGAACUCGCUGUGAAGAUGCAGUGUACCCGCGGCAAGACGGAAAGACCCCGUGAACCUUUACUAUAGCUUGACACUGAACAUUGAGCCUUGAUGUGUAGGAUAGGUGGGAGGCUUUGAAGUGUGGACGCCAGUCUGCAUGGAGCCGACCUUGAAAUACCACCCUUUAAUGUUUGAUGUUCUAACGUGGACCCGUUACCCGGGUUGCGGACAGUGUCUGGUGGGUAGUUUGACUGGGGCGGUCUCCUCCUAAAGAGUAACGGAGGAGCACGAAGGUUGGCUAAUCCUGGUCGGACAUCAGGAGGUUAGUGCAAUGGCAUAAGCCAGCUUGACUGCGAGCGUGACGGCGCGAGCAGGUGCGAAAGCAGGUCAUAGUGAUCCGGUGGUUCUGAAUGGAAGGGCCAUCGCUCAACGGAUAAAAGGUACUCCGGGGAUAACAGGCUGAUACCGCCCAAGAGUUCAUAUCGACGGCGGUGUUUGGCACCUCGAUGUCGGCUCAUCACAUCCUGGGGCUGAAGUAGGUCCCAAGGGUAUGGCUGUUCGCCAUUUAAAGUGGUACGCGAGCUGGGUUUAGAACGUCGUGAGACAGUUCGGUCCCUAUCUGCCGUGGGCGCUGGAGAACUGAGGGGGGCUGCUCCUAGUACGAGAGGACCGGAGUGGACGCAUCACUGGUGUUCGGGUUGUCAUGCCAAUGGCACUGCCCGGUAGCUAAAUGCGGAAGAGAUAAGUGCUGAAAGCAUCUAAGCACGAAACUUGCCCCGAGAUGAGUUCUCCCUGAGACUUUAGGUCUCCUGAAGGAACGUUGAAGACGACGACGUUGAUAGGCCGGGUGUGUAAGCGCAGCGAUGCGUUGAGCUAACCGGUACUAAUGAACCGUGAGGCUUAACCUUACAACGCCG
rnacentral:rRNA from 6 species